ensembl:snRNA U6 U6 spliceosomal RNA
GUGCUUGCUUUGGCGUCACAUAUACUAAAAUUGGAAUGAUACAGAGAUUAGCAUGGCCCCUGUACAAGGAUGGCACGCAGAUUUGUGAAGCGUUCCAUAUUUUU